UACAGGUAAUGAGGGUGCGGAUGCUACUAGAAGCCAAAUUACUUCCAUUUUUUUCUGGGAGCCAAAUUACUUGUGUUUGUGGGAAAUCAGCUGUCAGGGGUCCAGGAGCAUGUGUGUCUGAAUGAUGCUCAUUGAUGGCAUAGUUACAUGAAAAAUUGGAAACUGCAAAUGGAAUCAAGUUGAAGGAGGCUGCUAUCCUGCAUUACAUGUUGACAAUGUUCCCAGACUAAUCUCCAAGAAGGCAUAGGUGUUGCUGCAAGCCAACUGAGGAUGUGCAGCAACGCUUUAACUAGGGAGUUUGACAGAAUUGGUACUCCUCCCCUGAUAUUGUGAACAUGCCGGUCAGAGAAGCAGUUUAAGUUGCAUGGUCUGUAUGUCUGUGCGCUCAGCCUUUGCCCAAGUUAUGCCAAAAUUCUAAAACAAUGAAGAAUGACAUGUUGUGACCAUAUAUACCAUUCCACUGCAGUAGUUAACCUUUGAAAAGAGUAUUGUUGAAAGUUUCUUAUUUUGAUUGGCCUGCCAAAGCCAAACCAGACACGGGACGACAAAGAGUCUCAUGUUGUUUUGCCAAUAGAGACCCAUUAUGAUGAUUUUUAGACAUGAGGAAUGGUAGUUUCCAUGUGUUCCUCUAUUCCCUAUUGUUGACAAGUUAUUUCUUCGGUACUUCUAACGCUGACGUUGGUAUUCCUUUUUCGGUGGUUUAUCUUACGGAUCUACAGACACAGAAAUCGUACGUGUUUAUGUGUGCUGGUGCUGGUCGGGUACUCAUCAAAUCAGAUGCUUGGAGGACACAGGUCUUGGAGCUGUUCCGGUAGCGAAUUCCGUGGGAAACUUCCGCUCCACCUGGGCUUCAGAAAUCGCAUUCACCCGCCAAUUUCUUCUACUCGC